AUGAGUUGGAACGUUCAUGGUUUGAACUCGCCGGCAAAGCGAGAAGCAGUCCACGAGGUUGUUACCGCGCACCGCGCCGCCAUCAUGUGUUUGCAGGAGACCAAGAUCGAUGUGUGGACGCCGGCCCUUGUGCGCGACAUCGGCGGCCAAUCCUUGCGGGGCUGUGCGGUACUGCCAGCCAUGGGCACUCGAGGCGGCAUA
rnacentral:rRNA from 1 species